CGGCGAGUGAAGCGGCAACAGCUCAAAUUUGAAAUCUGGCCUCCUUUGGGGGUCCGAGUUGUAAUUUGCAGAGGGUGCUUUGGCGUCGGCAGCGGUCUAAGUUCCUUGGAACAGGACAUCACAGAGGGUGAGAAUCCCGUACGUGGUCGCCUGCCUUCGCCGUGUAAAGCCCCUUCGACGAGUCGAGUUGUUUGGGAAUGCAGCUCUAAAUGGGAGGUAAAUUUCUUCUAAAGCUAAAUACCGGCCAGAGACCGAUAGCGCACAAGUAGAGUGAUCGAAAGAUGAAAAGCACUUUGGAAAGAGAGUCAAACAGCACGUGAAAUUGUUGAAAGGGAAGCGCUUGCAGCCAGACUUGCUCGUAGUUGCUCAUCCGGGUCCGCCCGGAGCACUCUUCUGCGAGCAGGCCAGCAUCAGUUUGGGCGACCGGAUAAAGGCCUCUGUCAUGUAUCUUCCUUCGGGAUGACCUUAUAGGGGAGGCGUAAUGCGGCCAGCCCGGACUGAGGUCCGCGCUUCUGCUAGGAUGCUGGCGUAAUGGCUGUAAGCGGCCCGUCUUGAAACACGGACCAAGGAGUCUAACAUCUAUGCGAGUGUUUGGGUGUCAAGCCCGGGCGCGUAAUGAAAGUGAACGGAGGUGGGAACCCUCUCCGGGGGGUGCACCAUCGACCGAUCCUGAUGUCUUCGGAUGGAUUUGAGUAAGAGCAUAGCUGUUGGGACCCGAAAGAUGGUGAACUAUGCUUGAAUAGGGUGAAGCCAGAGGAAACUCUGGUGGAGGCUCGCAGCUGGUUCUGACGUGCAAAUCGAUCGUCAAAUUUGGGCAUA
rnacentral:rRNA from 1 species